AUUGAACGCUGGCGGCAGGCCUAACACAUGCAAGUAGAACGAGUGGCGGACGGGUGAGUAAUGUCUGGGCAACUGCCUGAUGGAGGGGGAUAACUACUGGAAACGGUAGCUAAUACCGCAUACCAUCGGAUGUGCCCAGAUGGGAUUAGCUAGUAGGUGGGGUAAAGGCUCACCUAGGCGACGAUCCCUAGCUGGUCUGAGAGGAUGACCAGCCAAACCGGAACUGAGACACGGUCCAGACUCCUACGGGAGGCAGCAGUGGGGAAUAUUGCACAAUGGGCGCAAGCCUGAUGCAGCCAGGCCGCGUGGAUGAAGAAGGCAUUAGGGUUGUAAAGUACUUUCAGCGGGGAGGCGUUACCCGCAGAAGAAGCACCGGCUAACUCCGUGCCAGCAGCCGCGGUAAUUC
rnacentral:rRNA from 1 species